rnacentral:rRNA from 1 species
GGAGCUUGCUCCCUGAUGUUAGCGGCGGACGGGUGAGUAACACGUGGGUAACCUGCCUGUAAGACUGGGAUAACUCCGGGAAACCGGGGCUAAUACCGGAUGCUUGUUUGAACCGCAUGGUUCAAACAUAAAAGGUGGCUUCGGCUACCACUUACAGAUGGACCCGCGGCGCAUUAGCUAGUUGGUGAGGUAAUGGCUCACCAAGGCAACGAUGCGUAGCCGACCUGAGAGGGUGAUCGGCCACACUGGGACUGAGACACGGCCCAGACUCCUACGGGAGGCAGCAGUAGGGAAUCUUCCGCAAUGGACGAAAGUCUGACGGAGCAACGCCGCGUGAGUGAUGAAGGUUUUCGGAUCGUAAAGCUCUGUUGUUAGGGAAGAACAAGUGCCGUUCAAAUAGGGCGGCACCUUGACGGUACCUAACCAGAAAGCCACGGCUAACUACGUGCCAGCAGCCGCGGUAAUACGUAGGUGGCAAGCGUUGUCCGGAAUUAUUGGGCGUAAAGGGCUCGCAGGCGGUUUCUUAAGUCUGAUGUGAAAGCCCCCGGCUCACCCGGGGAGGGUCAUUGGAAACUGGGGAACUUGAGUGCAGAAGAGGAGAGUGGAAUUCCACGUGUAGCGGUGAAAUGCGUAGAGAUGUGGAGGAACACCAGUGGCGAAGGCGACUCUCUGGUCUGUAACUGACGCUGAGGAGCGAAAGCGUGGGGAGCGAACAGGAUUAGAUACCCUGGUAGUCCACGCCGUAAACGAUGAGUGCUAAU